AUUGAACGCUGGCGGCAUGCCUUACACAUGCAAGUCGAACGGUAACAGGUCUUCGGAUGCUGACGAGUGGCGAACGGGUGAGUAAUGCAUCGGAACGUGCCCAGUUGUGGGGGAUAACUGCUCGAAAGAGCAGCUAAUACCGCAUACGACCUGAGGGUGAAAGCGGGGGAUCGCAAGACCUCGCGCAAUUGGAGCGGCCGAUGUCAGAUUAGGUAGUUGGUGGGGUAAAGGCCUACCAAGCCGACGAUCUGUAGUUGGUCUGAGAGGACGACCAGCCACACUGGGACUGAGACACGGCCCAGACUCCUACGGGAGGCAGCAGUGGGGAAUUUUGGACAAUGGGCGCAAGCCUGAUCCAGCAAUGCCGCGUGCAGGAAGAAGGCCUUCGGGUUGUAAACUGCUUUUGUCAGGGAAGAAAUCCUCUGGGUUAACACCCCGGGGGGAUGACGGUACCUGAAGAAUAAGCACCGGCUAGCUACGUGCCAGCCGCCGCGGUAAGAC
rnacentral:rRNA from 1 species